rnacentral:tRNA from 1 species
GAGAUUUAAUGUUUAAGAAAAAGCUUCUAACUUAGUUCUUGAGCGGUUAAAUUCCGUUCAUAUCUCU